rnacentral:rRNA from 1 species
AUUGAACGCUGGCGGCAGGCCUAACACAUGCAAGUCGAACGAGUGGCGGACGGGUGAGUAAUGUCUGGGAAACUGCCCGAUGGAGGGGGAUAACUACUGGAAACGGUAGCUAAUACCGCAUACCAUCGGAUGUGCCCAGAUGGGAUUAGCUAGUAGGUUGGGUAACGGCUCACCUAGGCGACGAUCCCUAGCUGGUCUGAGAGGAUGACAAGCCACACUGGAACUGAGACACGAUGCAUACACCUAAGGGAGGCAGCAGUGGGGAAUAGUGCACAAGGGGGGCAAGCCUGAUGCAGCCAGGCGGCGUGUAUGAAGAGGGCCUUCGGGUUGUAAAGUACUUUCAGCGGGGAGGCGUUACCCGCAGAAGAAGCACCGGCUAACUCCGUGCCAGCAGCCGCGGUAAUAC